UAACAACAAAUAAUUUUGGCUGUCGCAGACAUAAAAAAGUUAGACCUUUCCAAUGAUACCUUAGUCAUAAAAAUUGAUACAGUGGUUUGAUCGAAAAAGGGACAUCCAUCAGCCAGUUACAUUUGACUAUUAAUAUAUAUGAUUGAUAAGAAUUUUGCUAUUUUUACCCUUAAAUUUAGAGAAGUUUCCAUUAAGUUGGUUUUGGGGACAUUGCCUAUAAACCUAUCACUUUGCUUUUUGACAACUGUAGUUGAGUACUACAGUCAUAGUUCAAUGUCUAUCUUUAAUUCAUUACAGUGCUUUGCAUUAUUUUUAAAGUUAGCUUUUAAUUUAUUUUUUAUAAACCUUCUCAUCUGUCCUUUUCCCAUAUCCAUAGUUUUUCAGGAGUUCUGAUGAAAACAAUACAUUGAAGUAUAUUGAUUUUAUAAUUGACAUAACUAUUGCUUAGAAUAUUUUUGUAUGGUGAAAAAUUAGAGAAAUACA
rnacentral:lncRNA from 1 species